UGUACUUACACUUCUUCCUGCGGAGGAGGGUGGUGUAGUCGAAGGGAGUGCCGAGGCCGUAGCCGUAGUUCAGGCCGUAGACACCAAUGCCGUGGCCGAGACCGUAGUGGCCAGCGCCGUAGCCGAGGCUUCCAACACCGUAGCCGUAGACUGGAGCGGCGUAGUAGGCAGCGAAGGCUGGGGCAGCGUGGGCGACAGUAGCGACCGCUGGGGCAUGGUGGACGGUGGUGGUGGCAACAGCU